CUGGUUGAUCCUGCCAGUAGUCAUAUGCUUGUCUCAAAGAUUAAGCCAUGCAUGUCUAAGUACAAGCCUCAGUAAGGUGAAACCGCGAAUGGCUCAUUAAAUCACACCUAAUCUACUGGAAAGUUACAAGUUACUUGGAUAACUGAGGUAAUUCUUGAGCUAAUACAUGCGAAAAAUCUCGACUCACGGAGAGAUGCUUUUAUUAGAUCAAAACCAAACGGCUUCGGCCGUAACAUUGGUGACUCUGAAUAACUUUGGGCUGAGCGUAUGGCCUUGUGCCCACGACGUUUCCUUCGAAGGG
rnacentral:rRNA from 1 species